AGUAAUAUUUACUACGCCUACUUUGGGAGCAGAAGUCGCAGGUUCAAAUCCUGUCGUCUCGACCA
rnacentral:tRNA from 1 species